rnacentral:rRNA from 1 species
UGGCUCAGGAUGAACGCUGGCGGUGCGCCUAAUACAUGCAAGUCGAGCGAGGGGCAGCAAUGUCCCGAGCGGCGAACGGGUGAGUAACACGUUGGGAACCUACCCUCUAGACCGGGAUACCCUUCCGAAAGGAGGGCUAAUACCGGAUACGACCUUGAGCCGAUGGGCACAAGGUUGAAAGGCGGCUUCACAGCCGCGCAAGAGGAUGGACCUGCGGAUGAUUAGCUAGUUGGCGGGGCAACGGCCCACCAAGGCGAGGAUCAUUAGCCGGACUGAGAGGUCGGCCGGCCACACAGGAACUGAGACACGGUCCUGACUCCUACGGGAGGCAGCAGUGGGGAAUA